CUCGUGGUAGUGUGUUUUUAAAGAAAAAGGGUUUUCGUGUAGGAAACGGUUUUUAAAAGAGUUUUCCUGAUUUUCAUAAUUCUUACUAUUUGAAAAUAAGUUUUCGAGUGGAAAUAUUUUAAACUGAUAGAUGUGGAAUUAUGAUUAACUAUGAUGGAAUGAAUGUGAAUGGAAUAUGUGAUGUGGUGAUUGUAUAUGAAUGAUUAUACUGUGUUGUUGUAUCUUAUACUUGUGCGACGCUGUACAAAUAUAGGAAAGACUCUGUCCAUAUGAACAGUGGACUCCCUGUAUUUAUGGCGGAUCUGACGUCCUCUGGAGGGUCAAGGUUUUCAAAAAAAAAAAUUUGUGCACUUUCGCAUCGUUUUAAACUCAAAAGGGGACUCGGAGCGUGACAGAUUAAAAUGGUAUCAGAGCCAAGUUACAACCACAGCACCACUCACUAAUUGUUUUGAAAAAAAAAAUAAACUGAACCAUUACUUAGGUUGACGCAUAGAAAGACCUAAGGGUGUGUUUGGUUCCACGUGAAACUGCGGAAAAAAAAUUUUCGGUGGAAAAAAAAAAUUUUUCGGUGGAAAAAAGUUUUACGUCGUUCGGUGUUUGGUUUGUAGGAAAAAAAAAAUAGCUUUCCACGACGGUUGUUUGGUUGAAAGGAAAAUAUAUAUAAAAAUAAAAAUUAUUAUAUAUUAUUAUAUACUAUUAAUAUAUAAUUAUUAUCAUAUUACAUAUAUAUUAGUAUUAUAAUUUAUAUUUAUAAAUAAAAUAUAUAUAUAUAAUAUAUUAUGCAAUAAUUAAAUAUGCAAUAUAAUAUAUAACACUAUAAAAUAAAUUAUUAAAUAGUUAUAAAUAAUAGUUACAAAUAAAAUAUUAUAUAAUAAAUAUAUUUAUAUUAAAAAUAA
rnacentral:lncRNA from 1 species